UUCGGCGAGUGCUUGCUGCAGAAGGACAAGAGCAGAGCGGCCAAGUACCUGCGCCAGGCCCUGCCGUACCUGCAGAGCCCACAGGAGCCCGUGCGAGAGGCAGCCCUCGGGUUCAUUGGGAGGGCCGGGA